rnacentral:rRNA from 1 species
GUGGGGAAUCUUCCGCAAUGGACGAAAGUCUGACGGAGCAACGCCGCGUGAGUGAUGAAGGUCUUCGGAUUGUAAAGCUCUGUUAAUCGGGACGAAAGAGCCUAGUGUGAAUAAUGCUAGGAAGUGACGGUACCGGAAUAGAAAGCCACGGCUAACUACGUGCCAGCAGCCGCGGUAAUACGUAGGUGGCAAGCGUUGUCCGGAAUUAUUGGGCGUAAAGCGCGCGCAGGCGGAUCUGCCAGUCUGUCUUAAAAGUUCGGGGCUUAACCCCGUGAUGGGAUGGAAACUACAGAUCUAGAGUAUCGGAGAGGAAAGUGGAAUUCCUAGUGUAGCGGUGAAAUGCGUAGAUAUUAGGAAGAACACCAGUGGCGAAGGCGACUUUCUGGACGAAAACUGACGCUGAGGCGCGAAAGCCAGGGGAGCGAACGGGAUUAGAUACCCUUGUAGUCC